GUUUAUUAUUAUUAUUAUUAUUAUUAUUAUUAUUAUUAUUAUUAGUAGUAGUAGUAGUUUUCUGUCCGGCUGCAUAGCAUACACUGGCGCCUCCCUAUGUCUAUCUCUCUCCUCCCUCAAUAGGGCCAGAUAUGUCAUUUCAUAGGAUGGGAGGAGAGAUACGGGGAGGCGCUGGUGUACGCUACGCAGCCUUUGUUCCAGUUUUGUAAUUAUUAUUAUUAUUAUUGUGUACAUUCUUGUCCAAGUAUGCAAUUGCCAAUUUUUUAAUUUUUUAUUCUUGAGGAUUGGGAAUAUAUCAGUUUUUGUAUUGUGCACUGGUGUCAUUUAUCUCUUUCAUUCUUUAUUUAUAGUAGGUUUCAAAUCCUUUUGGUUAUUCAUUUCUUCAUGUUGAGUUUGCCUUUUACUCUGUCCAUAGUUGGUUCUGUGUGUUUAUAGGUUUGAUCUUAUCUGGUUUGAGGUUGUAAAGUUGAUCACUUUUCUAAUUGUUAGCAAAAUGAUUAACACCUAUUUCGGAGAACAGCCAAAAUUCUCUAAUUAAAUUUUGGUAAAGAGAUCUCAAGAAUUCCAAGAUUUUGGGAAUAGAAGAGGGAUCAUUCCUCCUAGAACCCAUGCUACUGUUUAAAAUUAGAACUGGGAAUUCUUGUUAUGAUGCCACGUGGCUGUGGGCACGAAUGCGAUGAACUGAUUGCCGCAUGGUUGUGGACAUGAAUGUGAUGAACUGAUUGCCUCACAGUUUUGGUUUCAGAUACGACAUUCUACAUGCUUGACUACUUCACCGUUAUUUCCCGCCACCCUUUUGGGAAGGGCGGACGUUGAGCAAAAGAUCUAUUUAGUUACUUCUGUCCAUUGUUUGCUACUAGUCAUGUUACUAAGAUCAUACUUUCAAAAUUAAAUAUGAACUUAUGUUAUGAUGUUCUCUGUGACUUAUGCCAAGUAACAAACAAGCACAGGCACGCACAAAAAAAUUUCUUCUGUCAAAGGAUUUAGUAGUGAUAUUUAAAUUCUUGAUAACUAUAUUGCUAUGUGCAAACUCGAUACCAACUGGAUACCAAGCACAUCUGCUCUUCUAAUAUUAUUAGAAAUUAUGACGAUUAACAUUUUGCAGUGAAGAGACUUAUAUAUUCUACUCAUGAAUGAGAUGGAAUGUUCAAGCUGCUUGGGAGGUUAAUUUGUUUGAUCUUCUUAACUGAGAUUACGUUGUAGUUUGCACUUGUUUUAUGGAGGGCAUGGGAUAUAAGAGGAGCUUACUCUUGUGUUGAUUGGAAGGGGUUACGAAACUUCAGGUGUUUUGACUUAGGAGAGGAAAAAAGAUGAGUGUUAGGGAAGUGUCUAUGGAGGUAUGCUAAUGGACCUUAUGGUGACAAAUAAUAGAAAGGAUGUGUAGAACCUGCAACAUGAGUAGAUAUGAGGAGAGUGUCAUUGUCUCAUGUGUGUCUUGAGUUUGGAACAGUGUAAUGAAGGGCCAAGGGAGCUUCAGUGAAAGAGAGAAUUUUAGAGUAGGGCCAGUAGGCAAUGGGGAAGGAAUAAGGGUAAUGCAGAAUCCAAAUAUGAAGGGGCAUAACAGGUACUGAAAUAGGCCUCAAACAAUCCAAAUAACAAGGAUAAUAUCAGGGAAGAACAUAGGAAUCACGACAGGCCAUUAAACACCCAUUGAUCUCAGUUCAGGGUAGCACAUUUCACUAAAAGACAAAGAAAAGGAGAUUUUUAAUAACUCCCCAGUGGCUGGUUAGAAUUGCACCAGACUUGGGUCGAGUCUCAUACAGGUAUGGGGCAAGGUUGGAAGUGUCCCGGGCAGCAAGGAACCAAUUAGGAAACUCACAUAAGUUUCUAAAAACUGAAAAUAGAAACAAAGUAAAAAAGGAAACUAAUGACUUGACUCAACUAAUAACUUGACUUCUAAGAAAUAACAAAGUCUAACAACUUAAAUUGAACCCAACUAAAAAAGAAACUAAUGUAAAAGGAAACAAAUUAGUUAAUCUCGUAUGCAACCUUAAUACCCCCCAGUUUAGACCCAUAAAAGUGGCACAUCACAUUCAAAAUCACAUGGACUGAAGCCCCAACACAUAGACAACACAACUUCUAUAAAACAAGCCUAUUUCGGUGAUGAAUCUGUAUCAAGGGGUUGACAUGAGAAAGACCUCGAACAGCGGGGAGAGAAGGGAGGGAGGGUGAGAUGCCGUGAGGCAGGGGAACACAGACAUGGAAGUGGGGUGGCUGAGAUUUAAUGUAGAAGUAGGUUACCCUAGGUAAACAACUCCCAAUAUGUUAAGCUCAAACCAAUGUAAAUCUGUUCCCUUACUUCAGUCUAAACAGAAACCAGAUUAAGAGCAACACACAAGGGAUACAAAAACCAGCAAAAUAGACCCAAAUAUUUACUUGUAACUUCAGAGAACAAUUCAGCAACAAAUGACCCAAUAACAGAAAUCGAUGCCCAAAGAAGAACAGGGUCUCAGCCAGGCCAGAAUUAGAGUUACCUGCGGUUGUAAGAGGAAGUCUCAGAAUGGAUCGAGUAAUUCUCUUGGAGGCUGGAAUAAGACCUUAGAAGGGUUUCCUGAUCAGACUUCAGGUUUAGGAGAUGUGACCAAUCGAUGGAGCUUCAAUAUCCUCGCUUCCUUUGCUGAAAUCGAUUCUGGUUUUAUGCACUUACUUGAUCCACACAGCAGUCAAUAACAGAAAACAGAAAAGAGAAAGUUAAAGAGAAGAUUAACAAGAUAGAUGUGGGUGGGAUUGGCUAUCUCAGCCUGGGUAUCUCACCAACAGCUAUCCCAGCUGUUGUCUUCCUUUCUUAGAAGAGGGAGCAAGCAAAAACUGCAGCAACUUCAUUAAUUCAAUAGUGUCUUGUGUCUACAGCAGACCCUCUUUAUAUAGGGGUCUGAAAUUACAAAAUAGAAGCUCGACACAAUCUAGAAACUAAAUAAAAUAGAAGCUAACAAAAUAGCAACUAACUUAAAUUAGAAACUAAUGCAAAAUAGAAACUAACUCUAUCUUCUAAUUUAGGAAACAAAAUAGCAGCUAAUAGGACUUCCUAAAACACAACCAUACUACUAGAAUAGGAAACUAAAAAUAGGAAACUAAAUCAGCAACAUAAGGAUCUUCCUAUGCUGGGCGGUAGCUGCUAGCUGCUCUUCAAAGGCUGGCGGUAGCUUUAAGGCUGCUCUUCUUCUUUCUCCUUCGAUAAUGGAUCCCAUGAUGGGGAUCUACAUCAAGAUUCUUUGGCCGACCAGGAGAAGGGGCGAUGAGGCGUCAACAUCAUCGUAGGGCUUGAGUGUUUGUACAUUGGCAAACGGUUGUAUCCAACGGAAGGGAGAGUGUGACCAUUGGUAGGAGCUCAACGGAGCAUCGGGCUGGUGGGGGAAGCAGAUGCGUGGUUCAAGUGGUCUCUAGGGGAGCUAGAUGCCGAGAUAUUGGCUCUCCGGCCAUGACGGUGGCUUCUGUGCGAGUUCUGACCAUGGCUAGGGUGACAGGAAGAGAUAUCAGCUUGGGCGCGAGGAGGAGGGUAUCUGCUGGAAUACUGGGAGGGAGCUUCAACGAACGAUGGUUGGGUACGAGCUUCAUCAACCCAAGACUGGGAAGGAGCUUAGAGCUAGUUACAGGAGUAGGGACCGGGGGGGGGGGGCUGCUUUGAAUGGUGGCCAAAUACGUUGCAAUGAACGCAGUGGUGAGGGAACCAAUCAUAGAGAAUGGCCGGCUGGAAGGAAAACCCCUCAUCAUCCAUAAUCAUGACCGAGGAGGGUGGCGGUGCAUCAGCAGAAACUUCUACGCAGAUGUGUGCAAAGGCCAAAGGAUCUAUCUUCUUCAUUUGUUCGUCAGAAUAAAGAGGGUUACCAACCACAGAGCCUAUGAUGUUCAAACUUUUUCGCACCAGAACUGGAGGGGAAGGUUGGGAAGAGCGAUCCAUAAUGGAAUGGAGUGGAGAUCAGCCUUGCUGAGUAGAUUGUACUGGUCCCAUGAUGAAGACAGGCUUCUUUUCAACUUGCCAAGGACCUCCUUUGAGAGCAGUCAACUUGCCUCCUUCGUCAGAGAAAUUGAAGAUGAUGAUACCGUUGUUGAGUAGGUAUGUGGACAUCGUGCCACUUGAAUUCUCCAUUGUUUGAAUAGUGAAGUCUUUACAAUGUUGAAAGGAGGUCGGCUGCCAAGUAAAUGGCCACUCAGAGGGGGGGUUGCUAAGGAGGGAGUUCCAGGCUUUGGGGACAGAUGGAGAGGCAGAUAGGGAGGAGGAGGAGAGGGAAGGUUCAUUGCCAUGGCCCAAGGCCACCGGGAGGUGGUCAGACAUGGGGACUCUUGUCAUGAGGUUAGGUUAUGUAUGGUCACCUCCAACGCAGAAUAUCCAUACUUGGUUUCUUAGUAAUUGUUAGAAAGAGUGUCAAAUCAAUAUCUUAAUUAAACCCAAAACCAGAAUUUUAGGAGCAUUGUCACAGCAGCAGAUCAGCAGUUCUGGCUGGAGCCUUGGUGGAGGGUCACUUCUGCGAAGGUCUUCUAUUAAGAUAUGUACCAAAGUACAUUAAAUGUCAGUAGUUAGUCACAACAGAGGGAGUGUCACAUCGUGAUAUAGGUUAGCGUAGUAGUUUAUUGUUAGUUUAACUCUUACCUUUGUUCCUCUUGUAAUUAGAAAUUGCUGGUUUUAAUAUAAAGGCAGAGCACCACAAUUAAGUAAGCUGAGUCUAUCGUCUUUCAACACAUCCUCUCUCCCAUCAUUCUCUUCUCUCUUCUACAUGCAGGCACUGAUUUCAGAUCCUAGUUUUGCUACAGCCCCUUGUUUAAAAUCGUUGCCACUAGGUGGCUUGUGUGUUUUUCUUCUUCCUUCGGGAGUAAGUGAUGUAUUCCCUUGCAUCAACCCUCUCUGGCUUGAAAGUGUGCAUGCCCUGAUGAAUGUAAAAGUGACAUGUUCUGCUUGUAGACAUCCUGGUUGAGUUGCUUAAAAUCGUCGGCAUGGAUUCAAGUGCAAUCAUUCCUCGAUCAUCCCUUCCAUUUGACAAGAAAGGUAUGAUAGCUAUCACCAUUCUGUACUAUAGUGUAUCUUCCAUCGAUGACAUCGUCAAUCUUGUCCUUUAGUGGUGUAGCGAAUUGGGGUAACUGAAGAGAAUGAUCUGCAUCGCCCUCAUCUGAAUGUUGACUCAUAAAAAAUUAAAUCUGCCAUGUUGAAGACAUUACUGAUGGUCAUAUCUGGUGGCAGUUCAAGAACAUAAGCACUAGGGCCAAUCUUCUUCAGCACUUUGUAAGGACCAUCUUCUGUGGAUGGAACUUGUUGUUGGAGCCAGGAGCGAACCUUUUCAGAUUUAUUCGUACCAUCACCAUAUCUUUGGGUUUGAACUCGACGUAGUGAUGGUGACAAGCAGCCGUAGCUUUAUAUAUGUCAUUAUUAAGAGCAAUUCGUCAGUCAGUGUACAUAAGUGUGCAUCUCAGUGAUAUGCUGGAUAAACUCAUCCGCUUCAAUACUGACUCGUGCAUGAGAAGGUAGGGGGACCAAGUCAAUCGGCUUCUUAAGCUGAACUCGAGUAUGAUCUCGAAUGGAGUACGUCCCGUAAUGCAAUUAACCGAGCUGUUAUAAGAAAACUCGGCUAUGUCGAGUAUGGACAGCCAGGUCUUCUCAUAAUCCCUCACAAGGCAAUGUAAGAGAUUACCUGAACUUUGAUUGACAACCUCUGUUUGACCAUCUGUCUGAAUGAAAGGCUGCAGAGAAUUGCAACUUCAGCCACGUCUUCCAGAAAUAGCUCAUAAACUUUACAUCUUAAUCCAAGACGAUCAACCCUGGCAACCCAUUUAGAUGUACAGUACAACCUAUUUGAAAAAGUGGGUUGCAAUGUGACUUGCAUCAAAGGUUUUUGGCUUGAAUGAAGUGUGCCAUCUUGGACAACCUGUCAACCACCACGAAUAUAGAGUCAUGCUUAUCUCUACUAGUGCGUGAGCUAAACAUGAAGCCCAUGUUGAUAUGAAUCCAUGGUGUGUGAGGAACAAGCAACGGGAAUAUAAGGCAGUGUCUUGCUUCCUUCCUUUCGCUAGCUGAUACGUGUGGCACUGUUUGAUUACAUGCUCAACGUCCCUUUGAAGAUGUAGCAAAUAAUAGCGGUCAGUUCACCAGGAGCGGGGUUUUCUCAAGUCCAAAAUUUCCACCCAAUCCUCCCCCAUGCAAUCCCCGUAUUAGAUGUUGUCAUGGAGAUGAUGCGAGGAUGCACAAUAAAGCACCCUUGAAAAGAAAACCAUCAUGAAGAGAAUAUUUGUCCACCUCUUGCUGUAAUUUUGACAUAUAACAGAAAGUCCCGGUCCGUGGGUUACUCAGACUUGAUAUAAUCAAUACUCAUGGCAUGUGCUGAAAAUGUAUAAAAAUGUAUAUAAGGUGUUACACACCUUGUUCAAUGCAUCGUCCACAAUAUUUUCUUUUCCUGCCUCAUAUUUGAGAGAAAAAAUAAAUUUCUAUAGGUCAUCCAUUUGGCAUGUCUCCAACUUACCAACUUCUAAGAAUGUCAAUGCUUCAAAACUUUAUGGUCGGUAAACAAGAUUAUUUUUUUCCGAUUAGGAAAUGCCGCCAAUGCCUUUGCACUUGUACCACCUUGUUCAUUUCCAGAUUGUAUGUAGAGUAAUCUUGGUGUUCAGUUUCUCUUUAUAGAAGGCUAUAGGAUGACCUCCGUGCAUGAGAACACCACCGAUGCCUAUGAGACAAGCGUCUGUAGUCACCUCAAACACCCUAUCAAAAUCAAGAAGUUGUUAAACAUGUGCCGUUUUCAUUUACUGUUUCAUAAGAGCGAAGGCGUUGGUGGCUAUAGUUGUCCACUCGAAUUCUCCCUUGCCUUAAAUGCAUAGUUAUUAAGGCAGAAAGACGACCGAGGCGUUUAAGGGUCUUCUGAAGGGUGGGCAUAAGGCAUCACCUUAUCGAAUAAGGCUUUCUAGUGUUAUUAUUUUAUAUAACCAUUUUAUUUGGCACAAAUAGUAUAUCAAAACUUAUAUAAUUCUACUUAUAUGCUAAAUAAAGAUUAAAGAUUCAUACCAAUGCAAGAUAUUCAUUAGGAAAACAAAUCAAUAGAGUGAAUAAACUAAGUUCAUCUUCAUCAUAGCAAAUAAUAUUACUAUGAAAAAAAAUUAUAAAUAUAAAGAAAAAAAGAUUGUUAAAAUAUAUAGUUAUUUAUUACACUUACCAGUUACCUCUAUGAUGCUAAAAUGAGUGCCUAAGGUCAUCCACUAUAUUUUUACUCGUCAGUCUAAUUAGGGCUGCAUCUAAGGUCAGUAUCAUUGGAAUGGGGAAAAAAAAUUAUAUAAUUCUACUUAUAUGCUAAAUAAAGAUUAAAGAUUCAUACCAAUGCAAGAUAUUCAUCAGAAUAAUAAAUCAAUAGAGUGAAUAAACUAAGUUCAUCUUCAUCAUAGCAUAUAAUAUAACUAUGAAACAAAAUUAUAAAUAUAAAAAAAAAAGGUUGUUAAAAUAUAUAGGUAUUUAUUGUACUUACCAGUUACCUCUAUGAUGCUAAAAUGAGUGCCUGAGGUCAUCCACUUAUUUUUACUCUUGUCAGUUCUGAUUAGGACUGCAUCUAAGGUCAGUAUCACUGGAAUGGG